UUCUUUUCUUUUCUUUUUUUUUUUUUUGGUCUUUUUCCUUUUCAUCGGUACCAGGGAUCGAACUCACGACUGCCUGCUUGCAGGGCAGGCGCUUAUGCCACUGAGCUAAAUCCCCAGCCCCUCAUUUUUCAAGACUACUGGUCACCUUGCUGAAAGUCGGUCUCUGGAGUUUAUUCCUGUUGAGCUGUUGAACUCUUUGGAGCUGUAGUUAUACAUGGUUUGAGCAGCCUUCCCCUCUGCAGCUCCUCACUACCUCACAUCUGCUCAGCAUCACCUCAUCGUCACCAUUCUGCGACUUUACAGUAUUAGUGUUCUUCAACUCCACAGAUAAGGAUCAAACUCGUGACCUGGUGCUUGCCGGGCAGGCACUUGUGCUGCUGAGCUAUAUCCCUGGCCCGAAAUUUUAAAGACAUAGGUGUAGGCAGAGAGUUCAUGAACAAAACUCAAACUGCACAGGAGGUACUUCAAAUAAUCAACAAUGGGGAUCUCAUCUUAUUUAAAAGCUUUUGCACAUAAAAAAAAAAAUCAUCACCAGCAGAGUGAAAGACAGCUCACAAAAUGGGGAAAAAUGUUAGCCAACUGACCUUCCGACAGAGGACUUAUGUCUGUAAUCUAUAAAGGACUGAAAAAAGUCAGACCCUCAGAUUUCAAAGGUCCAAUCCAAAAAUGGACAUCUGUGUGCUUCUUAGAUUGAAGAACAAAUAGCAAAUAAAUAUAUGAAAAAAUGAUAAACAUCAUUGGUUGUUUGAGAGAUGCAGAUUAUUCCAUGUAAUUUUUUAAAACCCUGUAAACUUGGUUUUUAAAUUUUACUUUACAGAGAAAAAAUUUGUAUUUUAAACAGAAGUAAAAAUUUCAAAACAA